GAUGAACGCUGGCGGCGUGCUUAACACAUGCAAGUCGAACGAUGAAGCCCAGCUUGCUGGGUGGAUUAGUGGCGAACGGGUGAGUAACACGUGAGUAACCUGCCCUUAACUCUGGGAUAAGCCUGGGAAACUGGGUCUAAUACCGGAUAGGAGCGUCCACCGCAUGGUGGGUGUUGGAAAGAUUUAUCGGUUUUGGAUGGACUCGCGGCCUAUCAGCUUGUUGGUGAGGUAAUGGCUCACCAAGGCGACGACGGGUAGCCGGCCUGGGAGGGUGACCGGCCACACUGGGACUGAGACACGGCCCAGACUCCAACGGGAGGCAGCGGUGGGGAAUAGUGCACAAUGGGCGCAAGCCUGAUGCAGCGACGCCGCGUGAGGGAUGACGGCCUUCGGGUUGUAAACCUCUUUCAGUAGGGAAGAAGCGAAAGUGACGGUACCUGCAGAAGAAGCACCGGCUAACUACGUG
rnacentral:rRNA from 1 species